GACAGAGGAGCCAAGCGUUGUCCGGAUUGACUGGGCGUAAAGCGCACGCAGGCGGCUGUGCACGUGGGGUGUGAAAGCUGGCGGCUUAACUGCCAGACGCCACCUCAUACGGCACGGCUCGAGCCCGUGAGAGGUCCACGGAAUUGCCGGUGUAGUGGUGAAAUGCGUAGAGAUCGGCAGGAACACCCAGGGGGAAACCAGUGGACUGGCACGGUACUGACGCUCAGGUGCGAAAGCGUGGGGAGCGAACCGG
rnacentral:rRNA from 1 species